rnacentral:rRNA from 1 species
GACGAACCACACAAACGUUAUUCGGAAUUACUGGGCUUAAAGGGUGCGUAGGCGGCGCGGAAAGUUGGGUGUGAAAUCCCUCGGCUCAACCGAGGAACUGCGCCCAAAACUACCGUGCUCGAGGGAGAUAGAGGUGAGCGGAACUUAGGGUGGAGCGGUGAAAUGCGUAGAUAUCAAGAGGAACACCUGAGGUGAAGACGGGUUGCUGGGCUGACACUGACGCUGAGGCGCGAAAGCUAGGGGAGCAAACGGG